rnacentral:lncRNA from 1 species
UAGGACCUAGACCUAGACUUUUGGAAUUCGCCGUUUACACUAAAGGACACACCCCAAUUCCCCAAAAUCGAUCACUCCCUAGGAGGACCCCAGCAAAAUCACCAUGCCUCUACCUCUCAUUUCCAUAACCCAUCUUAUCAAACAAGCUAAUAAACCCAUUUUUCCAAUCAAAUCGAUACCAUUUUUCUCGUUAGUCCAUGACUCUAAUACGUAAAUCGAUGUCCCUAGCGACUUCAAAAGUGGAAAUUGUUGUCCCAAAACAUUUUCUAUACAAUUCCGCCACCUCCAAUCAUACGGACCUCCUUGUUCCUUAUUUAUGUUCCGUGGAUGGAGUCUAAUUGAUGCCGCAUUUGGAGUUCGAGUUAUGUGGCGCCGAUCGAGGUCCGUUCGUGAUUGAUAGUUCCUGUUGCUUGGCUGGUGUUUGUCAUGGAUUUUUGCCGUCGGAUUUAGUUGUUUGAUUGCGAGUAGAAUUAAUUAAAGGUGCAUUCAGGUUCACUUCUUGUAUGUAUUAUGAAUAAGAAAUUGUUUGUCUACUCUUAUAUGUAUUAUGAAUCAAAGCCAUAAAGGGGAGGCAUUUUAAGAUAUGCUAAUCAGAUGUAGUUUGGGGUUUAAUGGAUUUCUCUUUCUGAUUUUGGCUGAUGGUUAUUGUCACCCCAUGAGUUUCCUUUCGGCGAGUGUCUUAGUUAGAGUUUGAAUGAAUUAAAAUAUGCUUGAUUCCCUGGUUUAGAUUUGUCGUCAUGCUGAUUUCCUUAUGAAUAAUGUUGAAUGAGUUUUCUGUUUGGAAAUAUUGUAAAUGCUGACAGUGCUCGAAAGGUUAAUUCAAGUUCGUUGUGGUAGGCUCUUUAUCUUACUUGGUUCUUCUGUUUGUGGUAGAUUCCUUAUCUAACUUGGUUCUGUUGUUUGAGUUCUCUCCACGUCUUGACUCUUUAAUGUUAAUAUUAUGCUUCGUGUGAGUUGAAAAGUUAUUAUGAAGUUACAUAUAUGAAAAUCGUCAUUAGAGGUAAAUAUGAUUCUGAGUCGAUCUUAAGGACGGAACAAAGUUUGGUACUUCAUGUUUUUUUCAGAAAUGAGAUUUUCGGCAUGUUGGUUUGCUUCUAUCAACUGAUUUGAAUGGGUAACAAGUAGUGAAGAUCUUUCGAUUUGCUUAGAUCGUCAAGUGAAAGAUAAUUUUUCUGAUUGUUUAAGGACCUUGCUUGUCUUAAUGGUUAUUAGAUCAAAUUUUGAAAGCAUAAUAUAGCACUGCUAGUCAUGUUGUCCAGCAUGUCAUUCAUAUUCUAAACUUGUCACAUUGGUUGUCCUAAGAGUUAUUUUCGUUGUGCCUGACCAAAGAAUUCCUACUGAUCCUUUGAACCCCAUGCGCCAAAGUAAUAUUCUGGUGGUCGAAUUUGAUUAAACUUGUGCUCUUUCUUGUUAAAAUAUUCAAAAGCUGAUGAAAUGGUCGUGUAGGGAAUCUUUACUUUUCCCUUCAAUUUUGAAUGCUAAUGCCCAAGUGUUGCUUUGCUUUAUUUGACCGUAUUUAGAUGCUAAUUGGGUAAUGUAUUAUUGUAUGGCCUCAGUUGGUUAAUUUGUAAGUAUAAAAGUGAAGAAAUGUUUGUAUGACGUUGGUUCCAAGGGUUAAAUUUAUGGGCUUUAGGAUCUCACAUAUCAAAAAGGUUAGGAAAAUUGGGUUGGUUAGAAAUCUUUUAAUGGCUCCUCUUAAUGGAUUUGACUCACUUUUUCUUUAUUAUAUUUCAGGCUUUCCUUAGUUCUUAUCUACUGAAUGUUCUUCUGUUUGUAUGCUCCAUUGCUUGACUCUAUCGGAAGAAAUUAUUUGAAAGAUGAAUGCGGGUCGUGCGAGUGGGGAAAGGCCGAGCUUAGUAGUAAUUAAAUUGUUUACAUGUCCUGGGAAUCGAGCUUGGCCAAAUACAUAAAAAUGAAAAUUCAAGUGAAUAUGAGCAUGAUUUAGAAUUUUCCCUUUUAUUUAGUUUCCUUUUAUUUAUUUAUUUAUUUUGUUAUAUUAUCCGUUAGGAGCAUGUUAGGCCUACCAUAUCUGGGUAGGCGAACCUUUAGGCGCGUUUUGAUUUUAUUAUCGUGAUUAUAUACACGUUUGCGUGAAAUGAUUACGGUUUCUAAUAAUGAACACUCGUAGCUUGCUUUAGGUGCGACUUAGACUAUUAUUGUGAUUAUGUAUAUGUUCGCGUAAUAUAAUUACGAAUUUAUUUCUAAAAAGUAACUCGAGGGAUGCAUUCUCGCAACUUCGACCAAAUUCGUGAUUAAUUGUGGACACGUACGCAUGACAUAAUUUUUUACGCGCCAAAUGAAAUCACUAUACGUAUGCGUGACUCGUUCGUUUAGAGAUAAUUCUUUAAUUACGAAUAAAUCAAGUGAUUAAAAGUGGUAAAAGAUAAAUGCACAUAGGUCCUAAAAAUGAGUAGUUAAAUAAUUUAAGCCAAGUAUAAAUCACUGAGCGACCGUGCUAGAACCACGGAACCUGGGAAUGCCUAACACCUUCUCCCGGGUUGGCAGAAUUCCUUAUCUAGAAUUUCUGGUUUGUAAACCUUUAAAUAAAAAUUGAAAUUUCCUCGAUUUGGGAUUUAAUAUAAACCGGUGACUUGGGACACCAAAUAAAUUAUUCCAAGUGGCGACUUUGAAAAUAAAUAAAAUAAUCCCAUUUCGAAAAAUGUCACUUUAAUUGGAAAAACUCCCGUAUACCCCCUACGGGUGGUAAAAAAGAGGUGUGACAAGUAACAAUUUUAAAUCUGGUUUUGAGGGUAUAAACCCGGAGCUUUGAUAUCAUGUGACUGUUUGGCAGUGACACUCAUGCUAGGUGACAGGCGUAUGGGUGUUUGUCAUGAGGGAUUGAGACUUGGUCCGUCCCGUGAGGCUGUGAAGCCUAUUAGCCUUUAUUUGUGUUAUGUGGUUUUCCUGUCUGCUAGAACUUGACUGCUUGCUUGAUAAAGAUCAUGCUUAGGCUUUAUCCCUAUUCACAGUAGUUAUACUCAGUCAUAGUGACUCUUGUACAUGUUUAUCUCAGUCUCAAUUAUCUUCUUGCUGAUACCCUGUAGUACUUUGAUUUGGACUGCUUUCCUUUACUUAUUAAAAAUUGUGAGGCUAGAGAGGCACAUGACUAAGUGAGGCCGAGGGCCUGUUGUGAAAUAUUGUACUAUAGCACGUGGGUUGCCUGUGCAGAUCCAGAUUGUACUAUACCACGUGAAUUGUCCGUGCGGAUCCAGAUAUGAUAUGAUAGCACGUGAGUUUUCAGUCUAGCACGUGAGUGGUCCAUGCAGAUUAGCACUUGGGCUGUUGGAGCCCCGCCGGAGUCUGAACACGCCCAGUGAGCGCAGGUACCUAUUGAGCGUGUGCACUGAGGGCUGAGGGAUUGAGUGACACUGCUCGUGAGGUUUCAUUUAAUUUUGAUGUUAUUGCAUUUAUCUGCUAUUUGCCUUGUAGUAGUUGAUAAUUUUUGAAAUUGACCUUUUUACUCCUGUUUAUCUGCUAUUCCUUAGUUAUUGUUGUUACUUGCUCAGUUGGUUGUACUCAUACUACUCCCUGCACUUCAUAUGCAUAUUCAGGUAUGUUUGAGCACCGCGAUUGUUGAGUUUAGGCCAUCAGAGUUUCGAAGACUGCAAGAUAGUUGUCAACGUCCG